UUAAAACCCAAGACUGCGUUAGGGAUUGAAGUGGAAAUCCUUUUUUGUUUUUUUCAAACAAAAAAGAUUGUAACGAAAAGCCCGACCCCUU
rfam:Flavobacterium branchiophilum FL-15, complete genome.